AUUGAACGCUGGCGGCAGGCCUAACACAUGCAAGUCGAACGGCAGCACAGAAGAGCUUGCUCUUUGGGUGGCGAGUGGCGGACGGGUGAGUAAUGUCUGGGAAACUGCCCGAUGGAGGGGGAUAACUACUGGAAACGGUAGCUAAUACCGCAUAACGUCGCAAGACCAAAGUGGGGGACCUUCGGGCCUCACACCAUCGGAUGUGCCCAGAUGGGAUUAGCUAGUAGGUGGGGUAAUGGCUCACCUAGGCGACGAUCCCUAGCUGGUCUGAGAGGAUGACCAGCCACACUGGAACUGAGACACGGUCCAGACUCCUACGGGAGGCAGCAGUGGGGAAUAUUGCACAAUGGGCGCAAGCCUGAUGCAGCCAUGCCGCGUGUAUGAAGAAGGCCUUCGGGUUGUAAAGUACUUUCAGCGGGGAGGAAGGCGGUGAAGUUAAUAGCUUCACCGAUUGACGUUACCCGCAGAAGAAGCACCGGCUAACUCCGUGCCAGCCGCCGCGGUAA
rnacentral:rRNA from 1 species